UACGGAGGGUGCGAGCGUUGUCCGGAAUCACUGGGCGUAAAGGGCGCGUAGGCGGUCGGGGAAGUCCGUGGUGAAAGCUCGUGGCUCAACUGCGAGUCGGCCAUGGAUACUCCUGGACUUGAGCACUGUAGAGGCAGGUGGAAUUCCGGGUGUAGCGGUGGAAUGCGUAGAGAUCCGGAAGAACACCGGUGGCGAAGGCGGCCCGCUGGGCAGGAAGGCUCGCAAGAGCCGGCUGACGCUGAGGCGCGACAGCGUGGGGAGCAAACAGG
rnacentral:rRNA from 1 species